AUUCAAAUAGCUUAAAUUAGAGUAUAAUACUGAAGAUGUUAAGGUAAUUAAAUAAUUUUUGGAUA
rnacentral:tRNA from 1 species